rnacentral:rRNA from 1 species
UCAGGACGAACGCUGGCGGCGUGCUUAACACAUGCAAGUCGAACGAUGAUGCCCAGCUUGCUGGGUGGAUUAGUGCGAACGGGUGAGUAACACGUGAGUAACCUGCCCCUGACUCUGGGAUAAGCGUUGGAAACGACGUCUAAUACUGGAUAUGAUCACUGGCCGCAUGGUCUGGUGGUGGAAAGAUUUUUGGUUGGGGAUGGACUCGCGGCCUAUCAGCUUGUUGGUGAGGUAAUGGCUCACCAAGGCGACGACGGGUAGCCGGCCUGAGAGGGUGACCGGCCACACUGGGACUGAGACACGGCCCAGACUCCUACGGGAGGCAGCAGUGGGGAAUAUUGCACAAUGGGCGAAAGCCUGAUGCAGCAACGCCGCGUGAGGGAUGACGGCCUUCGGGUUGUAAACCUCUUUUAGUAGGGAAGAAGCGAAAGUGACGGUACCUGCAGAAAAAGCACCGGCUAACUACGUGCCAGCAGCCGCGGUAAUACGUAGGGUGCAAGCGUUGUCCGGAAUUAUUGGGCGUAAAGAGCUCGUAGGCGGUUUGUCGCGUCUGCUGUGAGAUCCCGAGGCUCAACCUCGGGCUUGCAGUGGGUACGGGCAGACUAGAGUGCGGUAGGGGAGAUUGGAAUUCCUGGUGUAGCGGUGGAAUGCGCAGAUAUCAGGAGGAACACCGAUGGCGAAGGCAGAUCUCUGGGCCGUAACUGACGCUGAGGAGCGAAAGCAUGGGGAGCGAAC